rnacentral:rRNA from 1 species
AAGGGCGACUGAACUGUCAAGAGCUCACCGUGUGAAUCAGCGGCGCCGAAUUGUGGUUUGGAGGUGUGUGCACUAGGGCAAAGUCCCUUGGAAGAGGGCAGCAUAGAGGGUGAUACUCCCGUUUGCCUUGUGCUACCAAUGAGUCGAGUUGUUUGGGAUUGCAGCUCAAAGCCGGUGGUAAAUUCCAUCGAAAGCUAAAUAUUGGUGGGAGACCGAUAGCGCACAAGUACCGUGAGGGAAAGAUGCAAAGAACUUUGAAAAGAGAGUUAAAGAGUGCCUGAAAUUGCUGAGAAGGAAGCGAAGGAAAGUAGUGAGGCUGCGUCAUACUUCCUGACCUGCUUGCUGGUCGGGCGCUGUGGUCAGCGAGGUUCAGCUCGGU